AUUGAACGCUGGCGGCAUGCCUUACACAUGCAAGUCGAACGGCAGCACGGGGCAACCUGGUGGCGAGUGGCGAACGGGUGAGUAAUGCAUCGGAACGUGCCAUUGAGUGGGGGAUAACGUAGCGAAAGUUGCGCUAAUACCGCAUAUUCUGUGAGCAGGAAAGCAGGGGACCGCAAGGCCUUGCGCUCUUUGAGCGGCCGAUGUCAGAUUAGCUAGUUGGUGAGGUAACGGCUUACCAAGGCGACGAUCUGUAGCGGGUCUGAGAGGAUGAUCCGCCACACUGGAACUGAGACACGGUCCAGACUCCUACGGGAGGCAGCAGUGGGGAAUUUUGGGACAAUGGGCGCAAGCCUGAUCCAGCCAUUCCGCGUGAGUGAAGAAGGCCUCGGGUUGUAAAGCUCUUUCGUCAACGGAAAGAAAACUUAAUACUCCUAAUACGAGGUGAGGUUGA
rnacentral:rRNA from 1 species